rnacentral:tRNA from 1 species
CAGGGAGACAACAAAAUGUUUAAUAUUAUUAUUUUGUCACCUUAGGUCGAUCGGUAUCUCACGUUCUUAAUUUGUUAAGAAUUUCAUUUCCUAAGUUUUUCUAGGUCACACCCAUUAUUUUUCCUGGGCCAUUAGCUCAGGUGGUUAGAGCGCACCCCUGAUAAGGGUGAGGUCCCUGGUUCAAGUCCAGGAUGGCCCAUAUCUCUAUGUUGGGGGUAUAGCUCAGUUGGUAGAGCGCCUGCUUUGCAAGCAGGAUGUCAGCGGUUCGAGUCCGCUUACCUCCACUGAUUACCACCUCUUCCAUAACUGGUAGAAAGGAAAUGUUUUGAGUUGUGAUUAUUAUUCUGAACGAAUCUAGCUUCCUAAUGAAAUCAUUAAGAUGCUGGACUCAUUGAAUUAAUUUCAUUGNUUUCAGAGAACCUUGACAACUGCAUAGAUUUUUUUAAAGACAAUAAGCAUCUUUAAUGAUGCAGAUUUAUUAUUUGUGCGAAUGCAUUAAUAACAAUUCUAUUAAGCUGAUGCUUCAAUUUUUGAANUAUU